rfam:Callithrix jacchus chromosome 5, whole genome shotgun sequence
AUCCUUACCUGGUAGGUGAGAUGCCAUGAUCAUGGAGGUGGUUUUCCCAAGGUGAUGUCUACUCAUUGCACUCCAGAUGUGCUGACCCUGUGAUUUCCUCAAAUGUGGGAAAUGCAGCUGCAUAAUAUGUGGCAGUGGGAACUGUGUUCUCAUUAUCCCACA